rnacentral:lncRNA from 1 species
UCAGGAAAAGAAGAAAACUUGUAUAAAUAUUUUAAUAAUAAAUUUAUUGAGAUAUCGUGAGAUUAAUACAAGUUACAUUUGGCCUCUAAAAUGACAAGAGGUGGUCAAAGUUAUGGCCAUCAGCUUCCAGACAUUUAUUAGGACGGCGAGCGGGUGCUUGGGUGACCUUAGUGUCCAGAGAUUUCUGCAUGUGCACUUUCUACUUCUCCCAGGGACGGCAGUGCGGUGGGUUUUCUGCAGUAUAUGAAACGACAUCCUUCGGGUCCCCAUGGAUAAAAGUUUGCAGACGUUAAAUCAGGGGAACAUCCGGGGAACUCAACUACAAGUGACAUAAAACCAGUCACAAAAAUGCCGGGGGAUGCAGUUAUCGAACGAGGAACAUAAGACCAUUUUAAUGAGUUAUUUCAAAAUUGAGAAUAUCGGUGAGGUAUAGCGAUGGAGACCAGCUGGAACAGAAGCUCUCACGUGCCCAACAGUUUUACUGAUUCCCGGUAAGUUCGCAGCACGACACCGUGCGUCAGUGCGCACAGGAAGCUGGCAGCGCUCUAUGGCAGCCCGGAUGGCGCGCACUGCGCAGGAGAGAGCGAGAGCGGCGCAUGCGCGCGGCUCGUUCUGAGAAGAGGUGAGUGCGAAGUUCACGUCCCACGACUGUUCCAUGCGCUCAGCGGAGACGGUCCUGACGGAAGAAUACAGUUUUGUGAGCGGUUUCAACACACGGACCUGUUACAGGCCGGGCGUACCUAGACGUGCUGCACUUCCGCCUCACCUGCCACGUGUGAACUUUAUGGAAGUGAUGAAUGCCUCCUUCCAUACGAUGGCAUGCCGCCACACUGUCAGAAGACCCGCGGGCUCACCUGGAUGGAGUUUGGAAGGACUACUAGGGCGAAGAGGUGCACCUGAGUACCCGCACGUUCCGAUUUAGCACCUGCAGACUGUUACCUAUGGGGGACCCUAAAGGAUGUCGUGUAUUGCAGAAAACCCGCUACACUACUACAUUGUUGUGUGUGUGUGUGGGGGGGCAGAUAAUAGGGGAAAAAAACAAAAUGAAAAGUUAUUGUAAUCCAGUGCAGGCAGUGUAUCUGAACGUGUACCUUGACUUAGUACAGUUAUCUUACAUAUUUUGUAUGUUCUUCUCCCUGUUAGUCUGGUUUUGAAUCUGUAUAUAUGAUAAUUUACCUUAUAAGGUCUUAAAUGAAUUUGAUACUGGAGAAAUAAAAGGAAGUGGGGGAGGGAUAUUGAAAUGUGCACAUGUACCAGUUCCAUAUAGUGAAUGUAAUCUUUAUGCACAGCAAGCAAGUACUAAUAAAAGUUAAUUUUUUUCUAAAACAGGAAAUUCAGUAAUAAUUGACAAAGAGUUCAGUACUCUUCUUUCUAUAACUGAUAAUAUAACUAGAAAAGAUCACUAAGGAAAUAGAAGAUUAGACAUAAUAAACCAUCCAGACUUAGCAGACAUCUAUAGAACACAUCAUCCAUCAAGUUUGGAACACAUACUCUCCUUAUUAGCACUUGAAGCAUUCUACAGGAUAAACCACAUGUUAGCUCAUGAACCAAGACAUGAAUCUGAAAAGAUUAAAAUCAUGUAAAGAGUCUAAGCAAAAUAAAAUAAAAUUAGUAAUCAAAACAGAUUUGGGAAACUAGCAAAUAUGUGGAAGUCAAACUAUGUAUUUCUAAAUAACAACUGAGUCAAAGAAUAAAUUACACAAGAAUACAAUAAACAAAUGUAAAUGAAAAUAAAUGUGAUAACAUUUAUGGGAUACACCUAAAUCAGUACAGAGGGAGAUUUGAAGGUAAAAAUACUUUAGGAAAAGAAAGAUAAACCAGUAAACUGAUGUUUAGCUUAAGAAGCAAGAAAGAGAAACAAGCACAUAGAAUGAAAUAAUAAAAAUUAAGUAAAGAGAUAACAGAAAAACUGGAGAAAGCUCAAUUAAACCAAAUGCUGUUUCUUUGAAAAAUUCAACAGAAAUGAUAAAACUUUGCCUAAGACUAACCAUGAAUAAAAGAAGACUCAAAUUGCUAAAGUUAGGAAUGAAAGAAGUGAAAGUAAUCCUGAUCUUACAUAAACAAAAAUGAUUAUUAAAGGAUUACCAGGAAAGAUUGCUAGCAAGUUAGAUUAGAUAAAAACCUAUAAAGACACAGAACACCAAAACCAACAGAAGAAACAGAAAAUCUAUACCUAUAAUAAAGGCAUUGAAUCAGCAAUCAAAAUUAUCACACAAAAGUUCAGAAUCAGAAGCCUUAAGUAAAUUCUACAAAGUGUUUUUUAAAAUUAACAUCAAUCUUUCACAAU